rnacentral:rRNA from 1 species
GGUAGGUGCGUGCCAGCGUCGGGGGGAAGAGGAAGUGGGGCAGCGUUGUUCUGGUUUACUGGGCGUACAGGGGGCGUAUGCGGUUGGAUAAGCCCUCCGUGAAAUCUCCAGGCUUAACCUGGAAAGUGCAGAGGGGACUGUGCAGCUAGAGGAUGGGAGAGGAGCGCGGAAUUCCCGGUGUAGCGGUGAAAUGCGUAGAGAUCGGGAGGAAGGCCGGUGGCGAAGGCGGCGCUCUGGAACAUUUCUGACGCUGAGGCUCGAAAGCGUGGGGAGCAAACAGGAUUAGAUACCCUGGUAGUC